rnacentral:lncRNA from 10 species
GCCACUGGUCCUACAUUUUAUCUGUUAUCUGUCCGCCCGCUCCACACUUCGUCCGCCCCACACCCGGUCAAUCAGUCCAUCCGACACACACUCCGUCAGUCCGACACAUUCUCCGUCGGUCCGUCCGGCACUCAGUGUGUCAUUCCGCACCACAUUCGGUCCGUGAGUCUGUCCACACCGGGUCCGUCAGUCCGUGCACACACGGUCCGUCCACGCCUGGUCCGUCAGUCCGUCACAUCCUCUGCGCGUGUGUCCGGCACUCGCAGUCCGUCUACUCACGUCCCCUAGUCAGCCUCUCACUCUCUACCCGCUGGGCGGUACCCCGCAUCUCGCUCUGGCCGCCCCAGAGGUUCGCGGCUUCUGGACCUGCUGUGCCCCUCUCCAGCCUGGAUCAGGACGGAGAACACCCCCGAAACCCACCUCACCAGCACAGCCGGCGGACCCUUCCGGAGGUGGCCGCAGAGACUAGCCAACUUGCGCGCCCGCCGACCCGGACCACAGCUCCCAGCACACCUCAAGGGCCCACGCCCGCCAGGACUACAAUUCCCGGCGUCCUCCGGAAGCUCAAGUGUACCCAGGCGCGGUGCCUGCUGGGAAUUGUAGUUGACGUUGGUCAGCACGGAGGCCACAGGAUCCCAGCCCGGCCUUUGUGGGACUGAGGUGGCGCUGAGUGGGAGAGCAGCAGGCGAUGCGCGAAAGGCGGGACUUGGAGAUAAAUACUGAGCACCCACAACAGGCAGCCAGCACCACUGCAGAUUGGAUACUGCAAUGAUGAUAAGCAUGGCCUGCCUUUAUGGAGAAAGCCAACAAAAUCAUUUGUGACCCUGGUUUCUUUCAG